GCAUUUUCGUCAAGAGGAAAAGAAGAGGCGACUGCCGCGCCAUGGAGUUCCUAAUGCAUCCGAUCCGCAGGUCGGGGAGAAUCUGGUGCCAGAAGGUUUGUCAGCGGAUCGUACAAGGCGAACUGUGGUGGAGGUGACAAUGCAGGAGGGCACGGUCUUGAGCGGCGACGGGCGGGUCUGCGGGGCGUCAGGAGCGGCGGCAAUGAGCGGCCAAGGGCGAAUCUGCAGCACUACACAGGCGAUGUCAAUGAGCCGCGAAUGCCGAAUGGCUAAUCUGCAGCACGGCGCAGGCGGCAGUGGUGAGAAGGGACAGCUCGCCUCAUACGUCUGAGCUGUCGACGGGGAAGAUAACUCCCCAGGCUCUGCUUGGAAUAAGAGGUUGCGGAUUGGUGCCGCUGGCCCAACCAGGGCACCUUGGCCAACCCGUGUAGGCGCGUUUGAGAAGGCAGUGAGUGUUUUCUCCUAUGCCGGUGUAGUGGUUUCAUUAAGUUUCCAUGGCAUAGCUUUGCAUGAACCAUUUUCUUUUAGUAUAUCAAGAAGAAGCUA